GCGAGAAAACUUUGCAAUGCGCGAAAGCUCGACAAGGUUAAUCUGAGUGGUUCCUGCUAAAGGAACCUUUUGUUAGUCGUAGAACCACUGAUGAAUAAGGGGUGGGCAAGUUCUGGUGUCAGCCGCCGCGGUAAAACCAGCACCUCAAGUGGUCAGGAUGAUUAUUGGGCCUAAAGCAUCCGUAGCCUGUUCUGUAAGUUUUCGGUUAAAUCCAUAAGCUCAACUUAUGGGCUGCCGAAAAUACUGCAGAACUAGGGAGUGGGAGAGGUAGACGGUACUCGGUAGGAAGGGGUAAAAUCCUUUGAUCUAUUGAUGACCACCUGUGGCGAAGGCGGUCUACCAGAACACGUUCGACGGUGAGGGAUGAAAGCUGGGGGAGCAAACAGG
rnacentral:rRNA from 1 species